CUUAAUGGGGGCAGGGCAGCUCAACCUUGAAGAACAGAAUCUCCUGUGCUUGUUGUGUGUGUGUUUUCUUCCCUAACAGAUGGUUUUUAAUAAUGAUUAAAGUGUUUGCUUAGAAGUAGUAUUGCAGUAAAAGAUUUAAUAUGUGUUUAUCUAUCUAAAGAAGUUAAUGUGUGCCUUAUUCAUAUAACCAAUUUUACGAAUAAUGAAAUGAUGUCAUGAUAUUGAAAUAUGUUUUACAUAAUAAUCACUUUCAUCUUACAGCUUAUGUUUUUUAUAAAUGAAUGUUUUAUUAAUGAUUUGUUUUUAAGAAAGCAUUAUAAACAUGCUAUGUGGAGUGGAGGAGUACUGGGGAGAAAGUGACGGACUGCAUGGCUCUCAGGGAUGAGAGGAGAACAGUUUGUUUCUUUUUUGUCUGUGUGUGUGAGAUAGGCAACCCCCUCAGGAAUGUGGUGAUGGAAUCUGAUAAGGAGAAUAGCCAGCUGGGGGAGGAGGAUUCUGAAGAAAGAACGGCGAUAAAUACUCAUGUUUUUGUUCUGAGCUGUGAGUUUGUCAAAUCCUGCUGUAGGAUUUGGGACACUCCGGCAUGCUGUAACUUUUUCAUAUCUGAUCAAUAAAUAUUCAAUUUAGAUAUUUGUGUCUUUCUAAAUUAUGAACACGCAAUGGACGCCUUAAAGUCCAACACUAGUGAAACCACUACCAGUCUUAAAUGUAUAACUGAUGAUGACAAAGUUUUUUUUCUCUGCAUAAUAAUAGGAACCCAGACAGUAGCAUCGUUUCACAAUGUUUCCAUCACCAUCAUCAGUGGAUGCCUUUGCCGUCCGUAGCCUGAGAUUUCAGAUUUGCAGCAAAAAAAUUAGAUUUUCUCAUUUAUUGGAAUGCUGUGCAGGUUGUACCUUGCAGCCAUCCAUUACAAUGUCACCAAGCCGUAACAAAAGCAGGAGAGGGAAAGUACAAGGCUAUGUUCCCAAAACACACAAAUGACAUACCUUAUGUGGAGGAUGUGAUCAGGCUUGUGUUUGAUGAGGUAUUUGAAGAUAAGCUGAAGGAAACCCCGAUUCCAAUGGACCUGGCAUCACAGUUUGAGAGACCUUCAAAGGAGGACGUGAUUGCAUGCCAUCUUCAGUGCAGGGGUCGUCGAAAGCCAAAAUUGUGACCGAUCUGAUCAGGAAGCUCCAAGCGUAUCUGGAGAACAACACACGACAGGAUGUUAACCUUAUAGUGUCGUCUUAAAUAGCACCAGCUGACAAAGCUUUGAUAUGCCAUUUAUCUGAAUAGAUAGCUGUAAGAAAUGAAUUGAACAAUUUU